AUUGGUGUUCUUCAUGGAGCGCGCCGAUCAGGAUGCGUCGCUGCAGCUCUGUGCGUUUUUGCCGCUGCCGCAAACGCUACCGGGCUAUGCAAUCUAUCGAGCCUUCAGUUGGGUCGAUACGCAAUCGAACGGAGGUCGUUGCGGAUGAUCAUCGGCAUCCGGGUGGUGCCUACCAGGCGAGAGCGCUGGAGGCACGCUUGAACGGGUGCGGUCGCUGAGGCCAAUUGCCGUACGCCAGGGAAGGUGUAGGCUCGAUGACACAUCGUGCUGCGCUCUUAAAUGCCCUGUGAUGUAAUGUUUCGUUUACUGGACUAUUCUUUGAGUCUAUGUGGUGCACCACAAUCAGUAACAUUGAUGCGAAGACGCGGCGUCUUUGUGCAGGAUGCGAAGACAACAACGUUGGCGACGUUACCAGUGCUCUGCUGCGAUGUCGUCCAAUGCGCUCGGGUUCAGGUCGAUGAGGGCGGCAUCGACGCCCUCGGGAACUCGUGUCGAGAGAAUCUGCAAGAGUGUCGACUCGACGUUGCCGAUUUCGUAGCGACCGAGUUCGUAAAUAUGAGCGAAUCCUACCGACAAAAACAUCAUCAGGCCCAGAAGAAGCGUGCUAAUGGCAGCCCUACUUGAUAGGUUUUCGGCAAAACUGGAGAUCCAUGCCAUGGCCGGGACUAGUUGGAGCUCUCGCUCGCCCGAAUACAGUUCCUUUUCAUAUUCACUGAGCGGGCGUGGCAUUGGGGCGGCUCGCAACCACUCCGGGGGUACCGCGGACGCGCUAUCACCUCCACCAGUGUUCUCUGUAGAUGGUGAACUCACUACCGUCGAGCGUAGUGGUGGUCCCAGAUUCCAUCCAAAGACGUACUGGCCCACGAGACGAUCCUCUUCGUAACGUUUUUCAAACCAUUUCUGAAACGCGCGAACGUCCUCCUCGUUGCGGCGCUCGGCCCAACGUCGAACGCGAUCGAGAUCAUCGCGGCUGCGUUCGGUGAUGGCCGCGCGGGCUUGCCGAUCCAUUCGAGUGCGCUCUGCGAUGAACGUCAGCACGGUACGCAGGUCCUCCUCCGACCGCCUGUCGAUGAGUUUCCGGAGCAUCAACAGACGUUCCCCAAUGGUCUCUCGUCGCCGUUCCCGCGUUUCGGGAUCACUCCGGUUCGAUCGGUACACGUUCCAUUCGGGUGCCGGGCUAAUGUGGCCCAGUCGCUGCUCCAUGUCGGCCCAGGCCUUUAACAUGGGGUCCGUCCUCUUUGCGCCCUCGAGUUCGGAGCGGACACGCCGAACAUCAUCCACUCUGCCGCCUGCUGCGAGGAUACCACGCUCGAAGACCUUCCGCGCCUCCUCGUGGUUUCCCAGUCGAUCCUCCAUUGUUGCCCAAGCAUGGUACACGGGAACGUGCGAUGGCCACAACUCAGCCGCCCUCUGGAAGAGAUUACGCGCUCUUUCGUAGUGACCUUGUCGGGCCUCGGCAAUGCCGUAGGCCUGCAGCGUCGGCACCGACACCGGAUCCAACCGGAGUGCUUGUUCAAAUUUGGCUGCCGCGUGCUCCCAGUCGCCUUGUUUACUGAGCGCAAUGCCGUACGCCUGCCACGAUGGCACAUGGCUCGGGUUCGACUCCACCGCUCGUUCGAAAUACGCGCAUGCUUCCACGCUCGCACCAUUGCGCAGAUGAAACAUUCCAAAAGCCUGCAGCAGAAAAACGUUCCUCGGAUCACGAGCGAGGCCGGCCUCGAACAACUCCUGCGCACGCUCGCUGUGACCGGUACGCUCCUCCAGCAACGCAUACGCUUGCCAUAUGACGCCGUCAGAAGGAUCUAUUUUGAGUGCCUUGUCUAAAAGCGACCUAGCCGCGUCAG
rnacentral:misc_RNA from 1 species